AGCAGCCGCGGUAAUUCCAGCUCCAAUAGCGUAUAUUAAAGUUGUUGCAGUUAAAAAGCUCGUAGUUGAAUUUCGGGAUCAAUACGUCGGUCGUGCUUCGGUACGUACUGGCGUAAUUGAUUUCUCCCUUCUGACGAACCAUGAUGUCAUUAACUUGGUGUCAUGGGAAAUCAGGACUGUUACUUUGAAAAAAUUAGAGUGUUUAAAGCAAGCUAACGCUUGAAUACAUUAGCAUGGAAUAAUGAAAUAGGACGUUCGAUCCUAUUUUGUUGGUUUCUAGGAUUGACGUAAUGAUUAAUAGGGAUAGUUGGGGGCAUUAGUAUUCAAUUGUCAGAGGUGAAAUUCUUGGAUUUAUUGAAGACUAACUACUGCGAAAGCAUUUGCCAAGGAUGUUUUCAUUAAUCAAGAACGAAAGUUAGGGGAUCGAAGACGAUCAGAUACCGUCGUAGUCUUAACCAUAAACUAUGCCGAC
rnacentral:rRNA from 1 species